UACAGAGGUCCCAAGCGUUGUUCGGAUUCACUGGGCGUAAAGGGUGCGUAGGCGGUGAGGUAAGUCUGGUGUGAAAGCUCGGAGCUCAACUCCGAAAUGUCAUCGGAAACUACUUCACUAGAGGUUUGGAGGGGGGACUGGAAUUCUCGGUGUAGCAGUGAAAUGCGUAGAUAUCGAGAGGAACACCAGUGGCGAAGGCGAGUCCCUGGACAAAUCCUGACGCUGAGGCACGAAAGCUAGGGGAGCAAACAGG
rnacentral:rRNA from 1 species